rnacentral:rRNA from 1 species
CCUACGGGCGGCAGCAGUGGGGAAUAUUGGACAAUGGGCGAAAGCCUGAUCCAGCCAUGCCGCGUGUGUGAAGAAGGCCUUCGGGUUGUAAAGCACUUUCAGUGGGGAAGAAAGCCUUGGGGCUAAUACCCUCGAGGAAGGACAUCACCCACAGAAGAAGCACCGGCUAACUCCGUGCCAGCAGCCGCGGUAAUACGGAGGGUGCGAGCGUUAAUCGGAAUUACUGGGCGUAAAGCGCGCGUAGGCGGUCUGAUAAGCCGGUUGUGAAAGCCCCGGGCUUAACCUGGGAACGGCAUCCGGAACUGUCAGGCUAGAGUGCAGGAGAGGAAGGUAGAAUUCCCGGUGUAGCGGUGAAAUGCGUAGAGAUCGGGAGGAAUACCAGUGGCGAAGGCGGCCUUCUGGACUGACACUGACGCUGAGGUGCGAAAGCGUGGGUAGCAAACAGGAUUAGAUACCCUGGUAGUC